rnacentral:rRNA from 2 species
GUGGGGGGGCGCGCCUAUACUGCAAGUCGAACGAACUCUGGUAUUGAUUGGUGCUUGCAUCAUGAUUUACAUUUGAGUGAGUGGCGAACUGGUGAGUAACACGUGGGAAACCUGCCCAGAAGCGGGGGAUAACACCUGGAAACAGAUGCUAAUACCGCAUAACAACUUGGACCGCAUGGUCCGAGCUUGAAAGAUGGCUUCGGCUAUCACUUUUGGAUGGUCCCGCGGCGUAUUAGCUAGAUGGUGGGGUAACGGCUCACCAUGGCAAUGAUACGUAGCCGACCUGAGAGGGUAAUCGGCCACAUUGGGACUGAGACACGGCCCAAACUCCUACGGGAGGCAGCAGUAGGGAAUCUUCCACAAUGGACGAAAGUCUGAUGGAGCAACGCCGCGUGAGUGAAGAAGGGUUUCGGCUCGUAAAACUCUGUUGUUAAAGAAGAACAUAUCUGAGAGUAACUGUUCAGGUAUUGACGGUAUUUAACCAGAAAGCCACGGCUAACUACGUGCCAGCAGCCGCGGUAAUACGUAGGUGGCAAGCGUUGUCCGGAUUUAUUGGGCGUAAAGCGAGCGCAGGCGGUUUUUUAAGUCUGAUGUGAAAGCCUUCGGCUCAACCGAAGAAGUGCAUCGGAAACUGGGAAACUUGAGUGCAGAAGAGGACAGUGGAACUCCAUGUGUAGCGGUGAAAUGCGUAGAUAUAUGGAAGAACACCAGUGGCGAAGGCGGCUGUCUGGUCUGUAACUGACGCUGAGGCUCGAAAGUAUGGGUAGCAAACAGGAUUAGAUACCCUGGUAGUCCAUACCGUAAACGAUGAAUGCUAAGUGUUGGGAGGGUUUCCGCCCUUCAGUGCUGCAGCUAACGCAUUAAGCAUUCCGCCUGGGGGAGUACGGCCGCAAGGCUGAAACUCAAAGGAAUUGACGGGGGCCCGCACAAGCGGUGGAACCAUGGUGGUUUAAUUCGAAGCUACGCGAAGAACCUUACCAGGUCUUGACAUACUAUGCAAAUCUAAGAAGAUUAGACGUUCCCUUCGGGGACAUGGAUACAAGGUGGGGGCAAGGGUUGUCGUCACCUCCUGUCGUGGAAAGUUUGGGGUUAAAUCCCCCCACCAAGGCCACCCCUUAUUAUCAUUUGCCAGCAUUAAAUUGGGCACUCU